rnacentral:rRNA from 1 species
GAACGCAGCRAAAUGCGAUACGUAGUGUGAAUUGCAGAAUUCCGCGAAUCAUCGAGUCUUUGAACGCAAGUUGCGCCCGAGGCUCGUCCGAGGGCAUUCCCGUUAGAGCGUCACCGCGCCACCCACCGCCCCGCUCCCAGCGAGCCGGAGCGAGUGGAACUGGCCGUCCCGGACCGGUCCCGAACCGGCCGGGUCGGCUGAAAUGGAUGGAAUCCGGCCCCGCGGCGACGCAGCCCGCGAUCAGGUGAUCCGCGCCGCCGUGAUUGACUUCACGGCCCGCGGUCCAACCCCAAACGCGCGCGGCUGCCGUCGCCCUGACGGUCCGCGGUCCCGUACGAAGCAGGUCUUCCCCCGCCGCCGCCCCGGCGUCGCGCGRGGGAAAAACACAUGGUCACGCAACGGACCUCUAAUCGGGAAAGAUCACCCGCUGAGUUUAARCAUAUCAAUAA